rnacentral:rRNA from 1 species
GACCCUGAUCACAGUCACUAGUGGUGAAUUGAAAUAUCUUCUCUCACCAGCUACUAACGGAAAAAAAGGCC